AUUGAACGCUGGCGGCAGGCCUAACACAUGCAAGUCGAGCGGAGCGGCGGAGGCGUGCGUAAUACCUAGGAAUCUGCAUGGUACUGGGGGAUAACGUUAGGAAACGGGCGCUAAUACCGCAUACUCUCGACCGAGCCUAGGACGGAUUCGCUAGUGGGUGGGGUAAAGGCCGACCAUGGCGACGAUCCGUAACUGGUCAGAGAGGAUGAUCAGUCACACUGGAACUGAGACACGGUCCAGACUCCUACGGGAGGCAUCAGUGGGGAAUAGUGGACAAUGGGCGAAAGCCUGAUCCAGCCAUGCCGCGUGUGUGAAGAAGGUCUUCGGAUUGUAAAGCACUUUAAGUUGGGAGGCGUUACCAACAGAAUAAGCACCGGCUAACUUCGUGCCAGCAGCCGCGGUAAUAC
rnacentral:rRNA from 1 species